UACGUAGGGUGCAAGCGUUGUCCGGAAUUAUUGGGCGUAAAGAGCUCGUAGGCGGUUUGUCGCGUCUGCUGUGAAAACCCGAGGCUCAACCUCGGGCCUGCAGUGGGUACGGGCAGACUAGAGUGCGGUAGGGGAGAUUGGAAUUCCUGGUGUAGCGGUGGAAUGCGCAGAUAUCAGGAGGAACACCUGAGGCGAAGGCGGGCUACUGGGCCGAUACUGACGCUGAUGCGCGAAAGCCAGGGGAGCGAACGGG
rnacentral:rRNA from 1 species